GAACCUGUCGGCCAUCCAGGACAGAGAGAUCUGCUGUUACUCCAUCUCCUGCAAGGAGAAAGACAACAUUGACAUCACUCUUCAGUGGUUGAUCCAACACUCCCGGACUAAGAGGAGUUCCUGAGAACAAACACGCCCCCCAAACAGAACAGGCCACGCCCACCUGUCCUAACACACACUCGCUCUUUGAUCAACCCCCCCCCCC